AUACGUAGGGUGCAAGCGUUAAUCGGAAUUACUGGGCGUAAAGCGUGCGCAGGCGGUUUUGUAAGACAGUGGUGAAAUCCCCGGGCUCAACCUGGGAACUGCCAUUGUGACUGCAAGGCUGGAGGGCGGCAGAGGGGGAUGGAAUUCCGCGUGUAGCAGUGAACUGCGUAGAUAUGCGGAGGAACACCGAUGGCGAAGGCAAUCCCCUGGGCCUGCACUGACGCUCAUGCACGAAAGCGUGGGGAGCAAACAGGAUUAGAUACCCUGGUAGUCCACGCCCUAAACGAUGUCAACUGGUUGUUGGGGAUUUAUUUUCUCAGUAACGAAGCUAACGCGUGAAGUUGACCGCCUGGGGAGUACGGCCGCAAGGUUAAAACUCAAAUGAAUUGGCGGGG
rnacentral:rRNA from 1 species